rnacentral:lncRNA from 1 species
GAAAAAACAAUGAGGUCUCUAAUGGCCUCCGCAACAGUCACUCUUGUGUUAGCAAUACUGUCUCUAAGCUUGCCAUCUCAAAUCUCAGCUGAUACCUACUUGUACUCAUCACCUCCUCCUCCCAAGAAGCCCUAUUAUUAUCACUCUCCUCCACCACCUUCACCUCCUCCACCUAAGCCAUACUACUAUCAUUCACCACCACCACCUUCACCUCCUCCACCCAAGCCAUACUACUAUCACUCACCACCACCACCUUCACCUCCUCCACCUAAACCAUACUACUAUCACUCACCACCACCACCUUCACCUCCUCCACCUAAACCAUACUACUAUCACUCACCACCACCACCUUCACCUCCUCCACCUAAACCAUACUACUAUCACUCACCACCACCACCUUCACCUCCUCCACCUAAGUCAUAUUACUAUCACUCACCACCACCACCACCCAAAAAGAAGCCAUACUACUACCAUUCUCCCCCACCACCUUCACCACCUCCUCCUAAGCCAUACUACUAUCACUCUCCCCCACCGCCUUCACCUCCUCCACCUACGCCAUACUACUAUCAUUCUCCCCCACCACCCUCACCACCUCCACCUAAGCCAUACUACUACCAUUCACCACCACCCCCACCGAAGAAGAAGCCUUACUACUACCACUCUCCACCACCACCUUCACCUCCUCCUCCAAAGAAGCCAUACUACUACCACUCCCCACCUCCUCCCAAGAAGCCCUACAAAUAUUCAUCUCCCCCACCUCCAGUGCACCCUUACCCUCAUCCUCACCCCCAUCCCCAUCCACACCCCCACCCUCACCCUCCCUACGUUUACAAAUCUCCUCCCCCACCCCCUAAGAAGCCAUACAAGUACCCAUCCCCACCACCUCCAGUCCACGUUUACCCUCACCCUCACCCGCAUCCACACCCUCACCCUCAACCUCACCCCCAUCCACAACCCCAC